CUUCAGGGAAGAAGCGAGACAGGGAAGUGGCUGGGGAGUGUCCACCUGGAAUCUGGUCGCCAGGCCUUCUGUGCGUCCCUGGAAGUAGGAAAUGGUUGUUACAGUUCUGCGAGCCUGUCACCCAAUGUGCGACUGAAUCUAUGCCUGGUACCUUCCCUUUCCCCCUUGUGCAUCAUCGGGGAGCCUCCUUGUGACUAGAAUGUAAGUCCGUUGUUAGUGAUGGCAGCCUGUGGCACCAGAGCGUCUGAGACGUGUAGGAGAGAGUGAACAUCUGACAUCAUGUACAUCCAUGUGUGUGACAGUGGCUGGCAAUGUCGUCUUUGAGACUUUGAGUAUGUGAGUUUCCUGAAACUGUCACCCAGUGUCUUUUCUGUAAGCUCUGUAAAGUUGCUGCCCAAGGAAUAAAUUGAAAAUGACUUGAGCAUGGAUUAUAUCGUAUGCAAACCAAUUCCUAUGUCUCUACCAACUCUGUUUACUGAAGGGAAGGUUGCAACAGGAGGAAGGAACAUCAGAUGGUAGGUAAUGUGGAUGCUGAGAGGAAUGCCAAGUUUGCCGUGUUCUUUUCCCAUCUCAGCUAGCCCAGAUCGCCAUUUCUUAGGAGGAGCUGAGAGGAAGAGUGGCUGUCGGACUUCUUAAAGCCGUGCACCAGGCCUUUGCUUUUCUAAGCCAAGUGUAAUAUUCCUGUUGGAACAAGGGAAAGACCCAUGGACCGUGAAGACAGAGCUGACAGACAGUUUCUCCACAGAUACACUCUCAUGACCAUGUUUCCUAGAUACAUAUAGAGAAGACACUUGUUAUUGUUACUUUUAGGCUGGGAGUCUGUGCAUGAGACUGAAGAAUUAAUCCCAAAGCAGGAGCUCUGUGAAGAGCAGUCACCUGGAAAGAUAAUCGAAGGACUCAGAAGUCUCGGCCUGGAGUAUCCCAGUUGGCUGAAAGAAUGGAGUCCGGGUCAUCAUUUCGAGAGGCCACCCGGGAAUUUAAAGGCUUGUCUCGAAGAAGAGACCAUUGCUUUGGAAGCUUUCACUGAUAACAGACCUCGGGGAAGUUUCCACCAGAGCACAUUGCUUCAAACGCACCAGACAAGCCCAGAAGAUGAGAAGGCAUACAAAGAAGGCACACACCAGAAGAUCUUGAGAAAAAGCUCGGAGCCUCUUAAGCCCAAGAUCAUCUGCUCAGAGAAGAAACGACUGAAGUGCAAUGUCUGCGAGAAGGUUUUUAGCCAGAGCUCAUCCCUCACUCUCCAUCAGAGAAUCCACACUGGAGAGAAACCUUAUGCGUGCAUAAAAUGUGGGAAAGCCUUCAGCCAGAGAUCCAACCUUGUCCAGCAUCACAGGAUUCACACCAGAGAGUAAGUAUGUGGGAAGUGUAAGGAAUGUGGGAAGGCCUUCAGCCAGAAUGCACAUCUGGUUCAGCACCUGGGAGUUCACACUGGAGAGAAGCCUUAUGGGUGUAAGGUGUGCAGGAAGACCUUCAGCCAGUUUGCCUACCUUGCUCAACAUCAGAGAGUUCACACUGGGGAGAAGCCCUAUGAAUAUAUCAAAUGUGGGAAAGCUUUUAGCAAUAGGUCAUCCAUUGCUCAACACCAGAGAGUUCACACCGGAGAGAAACCUUAUGAGUGCAGGGUCUGUGGGAAAGCAUUUAGCCUUCGUGCAUACCUCACUGUGCAUCAGAGAGUUCACACAGGGGAGAGACCCUAUGAAUGUAAGGAAUGUGGGAAGGCCUUCAGCCAAAAUUCCCACCUUGCUCAACAUCAGAGAAUUCAUACCGGAGAAAAACCGUAUAAGUGCCAAGAAUGUAGGAAGGCCUUCAGCCAGAUUGCCUACCUUGCUCAGCACCAGCAAGUUCACACUGGGGAGAAGCCCUAUGAGUGUAUCAAGUGUGGGAAGGCCUUUAGCAAUGACUCCUACCUUGCUCAGCACCAGUGAGUUCACACUCGGGAGAAGCCCUACGAGUGUAAUGUUUGUGGGAAGGCUUUCAGUUACUGUGGAUCCCUUGCCCAACAUCAGAGAAUCCACACAGGAGAGAGACCCUAUGAAUGUAAAGAAUGCAAGAAAACCUUCAAGCAACACGCACACCUCGCUCAUCACCAGAGAAUUCACGUCGGGAAGUCACUCCUACCACCCAGUCCAGGCAGUCACCAAGCCCUAUAAAUGCCAUCUUCUAAGUAUUUCUGGAAUUUAUGUUCUUUUCUCUGAUUUUAGUGUUGAUUACAACUAUACAGUUUUCAUGGGUUUUCUACCGUCUACUAUUACUAUCUUCAAAUCUUUUUUCCGUAAUAUGCAAAAAAUUAUUUUUACUUUGACGUGGGAUGUUGUGUAGUACAAGCUGGCCUUAGACUCACAUGUACAAAAUAGAAAACCCAGCUGGGCAGUGGUGGCGCACGCCUUUAAUCCCAGCACUCAGGAGGCAGAGGCAGGCAGAUUUCUGAGUUCCAGGCCAGCCUGGUCUACAGAGUGAGUUCCAGGACAGCCAGGGCUACACAGAGAAACCCUGUCUCCAAAGGAAAAAAAAAAAAAAAAAAAAAAAGAAAAGAAAUGACAAUACCAAAAUUCUGCCAGCACUUAGCUCUCUGCCAGUACAAAAAUAACAACUGAAAAUACAGAGAAACACCUUAUGUUUUGAGGAGGUCACCCCAACAGAUGUAAAGGAGAAAAAGUAUUUAAAAAUAAAGAAAUAUCGCCGGUGCUCGCGGGUGUCUGGUUGGUGCUCAUUCUCCAUCUUUCUAAACUUUUAUUUAUUUAUUUAUUUAUUUAUUUGGUUUUCCGAGACAGGGUUUCUCUGUAUAGCCCUGGCUGUCCUGGAACUCACUCUGUAGACCAGGCUGACCUCGAACUAAGAAAUCUGCCUGCUUCUGCCUCCUGAGUGCUGGGAUUAAAGGCGUGUACCACCACGCCUGGCCUUUCUAAACUUUUAAUAAUAAAGAAUAAAUGGUA
rnacentral:lncRNA from 1 species